rnacentral:lncRNA from 1 species
GCAGCUGCUCCAUGUUGGAGGCGACAUCGUCCAGCUCCAACUUCAACUCGCUCUUCUCCUUCUCCAGCUUCUGCUUCACGCGUUGCAGGUUGUCGAUCUGCUCCCCCAGCUCUGCCGCCGAGUCGGCGUGCUUCUUGCGGAGCGUGGCCGCCGUGGCCUCGUGCUGCAGAGUCGCCUCCUCCAGGUCGCGGCGCAUCUUCUGGAAUUCCGCCUCCCGCUUCUUGUUCAGCUCGAUCUGCACGGACGUCGCCCCUCCGGCCUCCUCCAGCCGCUCGCUGAUCUCCUCCAGCUCCCGCGAGAGGUCGGAGCGCUGCUUCUCCACCUUGGCCCGGGCUGUGCGCUCCGCCUCCAGCUCCUCUUCCAGCUCCUCAAUCCGCGCCUGGACCAGGGAAGGAGGGAGACAUUCUGUCAGCAAGAUCCAGAAAAGCACGCUCCAGGAAUUCUGUCGGCGGCCUCCAUUUCAAAAGCCCAGGCCUAGAUCCAGAUUCGUGAAGCUUCCAUGGAGGUUCAAAGGUCAAUAACAUCUAGGGGCACUGGAGGAUUCCAUUCAAUCUAAAUCUUUAAGUGGACUGACCCAAUUUGCACUUCCUAGACUAAUACAUGGAUCGGAACACAGUUACAGUCGUACCUUGGAAGUCAAACAGAAUCCGUUCUGACUUCCAAAACGUUCAAAAACCAAACUGUGGCUUCUGAUUGGCUGCAGGAAGCUCCUGCAGCCAAUCAGAAGCCCUGGAAGCCCCGUUGGACGUUCAGGUUCCAAAAGAACGUUUGUAAACCAGAACAAUCACUUCCGGGUUUGCAGUGUUCAGGAGCCAAAGCGUCCGAGUUCCAGGGCAUUCAGGAUCCAAGUUACGACUGUAUCCUUCGGAGUGAAUGAACGAUGCAAUUCUCAGCUUGUAAGGUUGCAUCCGGAAAUGCAUUUCGUAGGAAAGUGCAUGCAAGCGUGUAUAUUUUAGAGGGAAAUGCAUACAAUUUAAAUGCGAGAGGUUUGUGGGUUUUAAAAAAAAUGGCAGAAAACUGAUCAGAAUGUAAAGCUAACAUGGUUGCUAAUAACAUCCCCAUUCCUUACAGCAGAUAUUUGAGGUACAGAAUUUCUCAGAAGUUAUUGCUCUGUUGGAAGCAGCUAUCCUCUACCCAAAAAUAUGCCUCAUUUUGGUCCUUAGUUACACACACACACACACACACACACACACACACACACAGAUAGAGACAGACAGACAGACAGAGGGGGAGAGAGACCACACCAGUGAAGUUGGCUUCAACGCACACCACCCUGUCAUCAACCUUUUACCUGUAGCUCUUUGAGCUUCUUCUGCAACUGGAUGGCCAAGGAUUGCUCAUCUUCAAUUCUAGCAUUGAGUGCGUUGAGCUCAAAGUCUUUCCUGGGGAAGACAAGAACCAACUUGCUACAUCCAACCACAGAGAGGCAGGCAGCAGUAGAACAACAAAGGAGUUGGGGGCGGGGAGUUGGCGAUAAACUAAAGCACCCCUACUUCUUCAGCUUCUCGUCCAACUGCUGCUUGUCGUUCUCCAGGUCCAUGAUGCUUUCUUGGGUCAGCUUCAAGUCCCCUUCCAACUUCCUCUUGGCUCGUUCCAGGUCCAUACGGAUUUUCUUCUCUUGCUCCAGCGAUCCUUCCAGCUGUUGAGCAAAGACAGUGAGACCCUGAAUCCAGAAACUGAGAAAGGAAUUGCUACUCCUAAGAUCAACAAUGUACUUGUGUGUGGGGCUUUUUUACUACACGGAAUGCCUCCGACUACUUCAAGGAAGGUGCGAAAAAUAACAGGCUGUCUCCCCUGCGAGUGUUGCAGUCGAUGCACUUACAUCGUCCACUUGCUGUUCCAACUUGACCUUGGCUUUCGUAAGGG